CUAGAGAUUCCUGCUCCUCCAGCUUUAUCUGGCUGGGUGUCUCAUGGUGCUUAUGCAGCAAAAUGUGAUUGGAGGUUUGUGCCUCAUCGCAUCCAGGAGGAGAUCAAAAUGUAAACGUUUACGAGAACCGGUGGUACCAGCAAGGAUGUGAGCUCAGGACCUCUGGAAUUCCCAGCAACCACAUAGUGGCUCACAACCAUCUGUAAUGGGAUCCAAUGCCCUCUUCUGGUGUGUCUGAAGAGAGCAAUAAUUUUAUAUAUAUAUAUCUUAAAAACAAACAUACUUAAAUGUCACAGUCCAUGAGUGGGUUUGGCCCAUAUAUAUAUAUAUCUUAAAAACAAAAAUACUUAAAUGUCACAGUCCAUGAGUGGGUUUGGCCCACGGGCCAUCGCUCACUGCCUUCUGCCAUAGGCUUGCUGUGUCUGACAUUUCUCAGGGCCUCCAUCACGUCUGUGGGAUGGUCAUUUUUGCUUGUUCAUCUAUUGAAGGGCUCCCCCACUGAGUGUCACAUGCAGGAAGGCUGAGAUUUUUGUCUGUCUGUCACAAGGUGUGCACACAUCAGGGAUUUGCGAAAUGACUACGCAGGUACAUGUCACCUAAUGUCUACUGCCACAAUGAGCCUACUCUCUACCUGCUCUCUCUUGAUGUCACCUUCCUUGACACUGGUCAGCACAGACAACGCCCACACCCAAAUGCCAGCUCACCUUCGGAAGGGCCCCAGGGACAGGGAUCAAAGCCUGGGAGCAGGAAGGAGAUGGAGACCCGCUUCCCCUUUUCCUAAACAGGGUUUGAUUUCAUCAUGAUUGUGCGUGUUAUCACGCAGCAAAGGACCGGAUGAGCCAGUGGAAGUGAGGGGCGUGCCCAGGACACAGCUCACCUCCUGAAGCAUGUCACCUGCCUCAAUUAUACCUGAACGGAAGCUUGAGUCACUCACUUAACGACGGGAGCUACCUGAGUGGGCUCAGUGCAGCCCCCCACUCCACAUAGCCCCAUUGAAGAGGUCACUGGCCCCCUCACACUAAGUGCUCACUAAGUGUGAUGGUGCAUGGGCCUUGUCUGUCCUAACAUCCCCAUCUUUCCCAGACGAGGAAACUGAGACACAAGCUAAGUGAGCAUUUCUAGCACCCUGUUCCCUGGUGUGUACCUGCCACACACAACUCACUAAACAAACAAAUAGCUUUAAACAGAUAUUAAAUGCUGUCCACACAUCUGCCGCUGCUGCUGCACGCUGGAACUCAGGCCUCAAGUCCAGCGUUGGUCUUCCAGGUCCAGAUGUUUGUUGUAACUAACACUGGUCACAUUCCCCAGUGGAGUGAGGCCAGAGGGUGAGAGAGGGCUUUAAAGUCAACGAAUGAGAGGCGAAGGUGAACAGUAAAAAUGACCUUUGUAAAAGAAGCUCUUAGGGGCUGGGGAGAAGGCUCCGCAGCUGAGAGCACCGACCUGGGGCUCAGUUUCUAGCACCUACAUAACUUCACCUCCGGCUCAAUUUCUAGCUCCACUUGUAACUCCACUUGGAGGGCAUCUGAUAUGGUCUUCUGGCUUCUGCGCGCGACAGGCAGGCAGGCAUGUAGGACAUGACAGACAUACCCACAAAACACUGAUAAAACACACAAAACAUUUUUGAGAUAAGUUUUUACUAUGGAAUUCUGGUUGUCACUAUGUAGCCCAGGCUGGCCCCAAACUCAGAGAGAUUCUAUAGUUCUGCCUUACAAAUACUGGGACUAAAAGUGUGUGUCACUAUGCCCGGCAUUAAUUUCUAAAAUUAAAUAAAUCUCUUUAGGGCCAAGGAAAUGGCUCAACAGGCAAGAAGCACUCACUUGCUGUGCUAGCCUAGGACCUGAGUUUGAAAGUUAGCAUAUGGGUGACUAUAGUCCACAUAUCUCACAGCUAUCUCAUGAGUCAUGUGGUCUUAUUUAGAUCUCUUGCCCCAUGACCUUGAUGCCCAGAUGCCAUGCAGGAAUCGGCCUUUACCUCAUCCUGGGAAUUCCUCUCACAUCUCCUCCUGCGCUGGGUCCACUGCGUCCUGAGCCCAGCUUAUCCUGUUUCUUGGGAAAUGCUUCAUGGGAAUUCCUGCAUGAAUUCACACUUGAAGAGGCUUCCAUACUCUCCUUUUUGUUGACAGAAAUCAGUUUUGACAGAUGCCUAGAAUCCCCCAGUGAGGGGUGUGGCUCAGUGGUAGAGCCCCUGCCUAGAAUGCCCCAGUGAGGGGCUGGGCCAUGGAAGAGCACCACCAGCCUUUCUCAUUGCAGCAUUGUUCCUGAGAAAUGCAGACCAUUCUGCUUUUCUUGUUGCCCCAGUGUCUUGCUGUGUAGCCCAGGGUGACCUGAAAUGAAGAGUUCUCCCACCUCCACCUCUUCCAAGGUAAGAUUACAGGUACAGCACGAUGCCUAGAUAGAUGACCAUUCUGCUUCUGGGUCCUUUGAUGAUGAUGGUUGUCAUUUUUACCUGUCUCCUCACCUCCUGCAGUGGUCUGAAUGAGAAUAGCCUCCAUGGCUCCUGUAUAUGAAUACUAGAUCCCCAGUUGGUGGAAUAGUUUGGGAAGAAUUAGGAGGCUUGGCCUCAUUGGAAGUGUGUGGGUGGGCUUUGGAGGUUUCAAAAGUCUCCUGCAUCCUCAGUGGGCUCCUUCUGCUUCCUGCUUGCAGGCCAGGAUGUGAGCUCUGAGUCAUUUCUUGUAGCCAUGCCUUUUCUCUGCCAUCAGGGACUCUAACCUUCAGAAAUCAUAAACCCAAGUAAUUCAAUGCUCUUUUACAAGUUGCCUUGGUUAUAAUGUUUUACCACAGCAACAAAAAGGAGCUAAUACCGCCCCUAAAAGUUGAUACUCUUCCUGUUCUAAAAUCCCUAAACAUUUUCCUUUUAAUAAAAUAUAUUUGUUGAUUUGUUUAGUGUGGGGAGGCGAACCCCUGACAUAUGACACAUGUGGAAGUUAGAGGACAACUUGCAGGAGUCAGUUUACUCCUUCCUUCCACCAGAUGGGUCUCUGGGAUCCAAGGCAAGUUGUCAGCCUUCAGGCAAGUGCCUUUACCUCCACAGCCAUCCUGAAGGCUGCGAGAGUCCUACAUUUUCACAGCCAGUUCUGCCCUCGUCACUUGAGUGGACAUAGAUAAACAGGCAGGUACCAAGCUGUAAGUGGGAGAGGGGACCUGAUGGGAGGUAAGGAGAGAUUCACACACGUCACAUCAACUGUGAAGGCAGACAGAUGUCUGAGGGAAUCUGAUGUCAGAUGGGUCCCAGGUGUUAGAAAACAAGACAAGCUGAGCCAGAGGUAAGUAAAGGAAAAAAUAUUGGGGUAGGAAAAUCAGGAUUCUAUUUUUUUAUUGAUUGUUUGUUUGUUUGUUUGUUUGAUUGAUUGAUUGAUUGAUUGAUUGAUUAUAGCUGGGUAGUGAUGGUGCACACCUUUAGUCCUAGCACUUGGGAGGCAGAGGCAGUCAGAGCUCUGUGAGUUAGAGGCCAGCCUGGCCUACAGAGCAAGUUCAAGGACAGCCAGGGCUGCACAGAGAAACCCUGUCUCGAAAAACAAUCAAAAGAUUAUUAUGUAUUUGUGUGUGUUUGCCUGCGUGUAUAUCUGUGCACCAUGUGGCUGGCAUGACUGAGGAGGGCAGAAGAGGGUGUCAGGUCUCUGGAACUGGAGUUACAGAUGGUUUUG
rnacentral:lncRNA from 1 species